rnacentral:rRNA from 2 species
AGGUGCGAUCAUAUCAACACGAAUGUGCUGGAUCCCAUCAGAACUCCGCAGAUAAGCGUGUUUGGCCGAGAGUAGUACUAGGAUAGGUGACCUCCUAGGAAGUCCUCGUGUUGCACCUC